GACGAACGCUGGCGGCGUGCUUAACACAUGCAAGUCGAACGAAGAGCGAUGGAAGCUUGCUUCUAUCAAUCUUAGUGGCGAACGGGUGAGUAACGCGUAAUCAACCUGCCCUUCAGAGGGGGAAAACAGUUGGAAACGACUGCUAAUACCGCAUACGAUCUAAUCUCGGCAUCGAGGAUAGAUGAAAGGUGGCCUCUACAUGUAAGCUAUCACUGAAGGAGGGGAUUGCGUCUGAUUAGCUAGUUGGAGGGGUAACGGCCCACCAAGGCGAUGAUCAGUAGCCGGUCUGAGAGGAUGAACGGCCACAUUGGGACUGAGACACGGCCCAGACUCCUACGGGAGGCAGCAGUGGGGAAUCUUCCGCAAUGGACGAAAGUCUGACGGAGCAACGCCGCGUGAGUGAUGACGGCCUUCGGGUUGUAAAGCUCUGUUAAUCGGGACGAAAGGCCUUCUUGCGAAUAGUGAGAAGGAUUGACGGUACCGGAAUAGAAAGCCACGGCUAACUACGUG
rnacentral:rRNA from 1 species